rnacentral:rRNA from 1 species
CUUGGUCAUUUAGAGGAAGUAAAAGUCGUAACAAGGUCUCCGUUGGUGAACCAGCGGAGGGAUCAUUACCGAGUUUACAACUCCCAAACCCCUGUGAACAUACCAAUUGUUGCCUCGGCGGAUCAGCCCGCUCCCGGUAAAACGGAACGGUCCGCCAGAGGACCCCUAAACUCUGUUUCUAUAUGUAACUUCUGAGUAAAACCAUAAAUAAAUCAAAACUUUCAACAACGGAUCUCUUGGUUCUGGCAUCGAUGAAGAACGCAGCAAAAUGCGAUAAGUAAUGUGAAUUGCAGAAUUCAGUGAAUCAUCGAAUCUUUGAACGCACAUUGCGCCCCAUGGUAUUCCGUGGGGCAUGCCUGUUCGAGCGUCAUUUACCCCCUCAAGCUCCGCUUGGUGUUGGGCGUCUGUCCCGCUUCGCGCGCGGACUCGCCCCAAAGGUAUUGGCAGCGGUCGUGCCAGCUUCUCGCGCAGCACAUUGCGCUUCUCGAGGCACCGGCGGGCCCGCGUCCAUCAAGCUCAACCCCCCCAGUUUGACCUCGGAUCAGGUAGGGAUACCCGCUGAACUUAAGCAUAUCAAUAAGCGGAGGA